rnacentral:miRNA from 1 species
ACGGGCAGGGCAGUGCACCCUG